GUGUCAGCAGCCGCGGUAAUACGGAGGAGGCAAGCGUUAUCCGGAAUUAUUGGGCGUAAAGCGUCCGCAGGUGGCGAUUCAAGUCUGCGGUCAAAGACUGGGGCUUAACCCUGGAAAGGCCGUGGAAACUGAAUAGCUAGAGUGCAGUAGGGGUAGAGGGAAUUCCCGGUGUAGCGGUGAAAUGCGUAGAGCUCGGGAAGAACAUCGGUGGCGAAAGCGCUCUGCUGGACUGCAACUGACACUCAGGGACGAAAGCUAGGGGAGCGAAUGGGAUUAGAAACCCCUGUAGUCC
rnacentral:rRNA from 1 species